CAGAAUUUCGGCGCCGGUCUGCCGUUGGAUUCAGGGACGAGAGUUGACUCGUCCGGUAAACCGCGGAAAGGCCUCAAAUUUUACGCUUUUCCAAAACCUGCGAAAAGUGUGCCGCGGCCACGGAUUCUAAUUGGGUCGGCGAUUCCCAGCCUGUCCGUUCCGUUUUUCUCCGCGGAGGCUUCCGCGGCGAGUUCGCUGAACAUUGUCUAGUGAGAGACACAGUUGCUUUUGUUUCGCCCGGUUUUGACUGUUUCCGUUGCCUGCCAGGCGCCGCAGGAGCAGAGGAUCGACCGCAGGUUUCGCAUCGAAAAAUCUCGAAAUCGCGGGGAGUGUCUUCUGGUCCUCUCUCAGCGGGGAGCAGCUACUCGCAUCGACAGCGCGACCGGCGAGAGACGGGGUCUCCCGCCCCACAACAACAACUGGAAGAAGCCGGAAAAAAAGGGGGGACUUUCUCUCGCUUCAUGCACACAGGAAAUUUAAACUAUGAGAAGAUGUUGCAUCUUUCGAAGCCAUUUUCUCUGUUUUCGACUCUGUCCGUGCCAGUCUCCGCUUCCUGUCCACGUUUGUGAUGCUCGUGUCAUUCUCUUCCGCCCUGUCGUCCACGUGCGCGCUCAAGUGCUUUUCCAGAGAAAAACAGCGCCGCAUUUCGUGUCGAGACAGAUACCCUCGUCUCUUGUACUCGGUGUUCUUUGCGAACGCCCGGACCAUUUCUGGACUGGGGGCAGGCCUUCUCGGUGCAUCGUGUUCCACUUCACUCAACUGACUCAACUUCUCGAGCACACACUCUGCCGCAACAGAGGUUGGCGAUGACAAAUCGACAGUCGAAAAGACGCGCUGCCGCCCAUCGCUUUCCUCAGACCCCCAAGUCUUCGAGCCCGGUCGUCCUCGUGUUUUUUUCUCUCGCCGCGAAGGCGCGUUUGCUCUUUAGGUUCGCGCGGAAUACACGUCUGACCCCCAGCUAGCGUCUCGGUC
rnacentral:lncRNA from 1 species